AGUGAACGCUGGCGGUAGGCCUAACACAUGCAAGUCGAACGGCAGCACAGAGGAGCUUGCUCCUUGGGUGGCGAGUGGCGGACGGGUGAGGAAUACAUCGGAAUCUACUCUGUUGUGGGGGAUAACGUAGGGAAACUUACGCUAAUACCGCAUACGACCUACGGGUGAAAGCAGGGGACCUUCGGGCCUUGCGCGAUUGAAUGAGCCGAUGUCGGAUUAGCUAGUUGGCGGGGUAAAGGCCCACCAAGGCGACGAUCCGUAGCUGGUCUGAGAGGAUGAUCAGCCACACUGGAACUGAGACACGGUCCAGACUCCCACGGGAGGCAGCAGUGGGGAAUAUUGGACAAUGGGCGCAAGCCUGAUCCAGCCAUACCGCGUGGGUGAAGAAGGCCUUCGGGUUGUAAAGCCCUUUUGUUGGGAAAGAAAUCCAGCUGGCUAAUACCCGGUUGGGAUGACGGUACCCAAAGAAUAAGCACCGGCUAACUUCGUGCCAGCCGCCGUCGUAA
rnacentral:rRNA from 1 species